CUACUCCAUUACUGGCCUGAGUUUCAACAAAGAACAGCAUCUUUGAGGUGAAACCUUUUGGAAAGUUUUGAGAGUAGGCACACAGAAGCUGUAUUUCAGCCAUGACCAAUGCUGUACCUUAUGCUAGCAGCUCAACUUGGUAGUAUAAUAAUCACCCAGGUAGUGCUGGUUUUGAAGAACAGGUCGGGCCUCUGAUGGGUAACAACAAAGCAUAGCAUUUCAAGUUGAGGAGAAUGAAGGCAUCCAACUAAGGAAUCUGAAGACCACUGGACAAGUGAGAUAUCUGAAAAAAAAAAGGACGAAUCAUCCAGAUAAAAUGUCCCAUGACAAAGAGUAAAUUGGCCUAUUGGUAUAUCACAUUUCCAACAGGAUAAAAUUUCAUAAAUCUUCCCAAAUGUU